rnacentral:rRNA from 1 species
AGCGAACGCUGGCGGCAGGCCUAACACAUGCAAGUCGAACGAACUCUUCGGAGUUAGUGGCGGACGGGUGAGUAACACGUGGGAACGUGCCUUUUGGUUCGGAAUAACUCAGGGAAACUUGUGCUAAUACCGAAUGUGCCCUUCGGGGGAAAGAUUUAUCGCCAUUAGAGCGGCCCGCGUCUGAUUAGCUAGUUGGUGAGGUAACGGCUCACCAAGGCGACGAUCAGUAGCUGGUCUGAGAGGAUGACCAGCCACACUGGGACUGAGACAUGGCCCAGACUCCUACGGGAGGCAGCAGUGGGGAAUCUUGCGCAAUGGGCGAAAGCCUGACGCAGCCAUGCCGCGUGAAUGAUGAAGGUCCUAGGAUUGUAAAAUUCUUUCACCGGGGACGAUAAUGACGGUACCCGGAGAAGAAGCCCCGGCUAACUUCGUG